GCUGAAUGUGGGGAUAAUUUAUCUCUGUGUUGAAGCUAACGCGUUAAGCACUCCGCCUGGGGACUACGGUCGCAAGACUAAAACUCAAAGGAAUUGACGGGGACCCGCACAAGCGGUGGAGCAUGUGGUUUAAUUCGAUGCAACGCGAAAAACCUUACCACUCCUUGACAUGGAGAUUAGAUCCUUCUUAACGGAAGGGCGCAGUUCGGCUGGGUCUCGCACAGGUGCUGCAUGGCUGUCGUCAGCUCGUGUCGUGAGAUGUUGGGUUAAGUCCCGCAACGAGCGUAACCCUCAUCCUUAGUUGCCAGCGGGUAAUGCCGGGUACUUUAAGGAAACUGCCGGUGGUAAACCGGAGGAAGGUGGGGAUGAUGUCAAGUCAGCACGGCCCUUAUGGGGUGGGCUACACACGUGCUACAAUGGUGACUACAAUAGGUUGCAACGCCGCAAGGCUGAGCUAAUCCAUAAAAGUCAUCUCAGUUCGGAUUGUCCUCUGUAACUCGAGGGCAUGAAGUCGGAAUCGCUAGUAAUCGUGGAUCAGCAUGCCACGGUGAAUACGUUCUCGGGUCUUGUACACACUGCCCGUCACGCCAUGGGAAUUGGCUUAACUCUAAGCUGGUGCGCUAACCGAAAGGAAGCAGCCAU
rnacentral:rRNA from 1 species